rnacentral:rRNA from 1 species
CAAUAGCGUAUAUUAAAGUUGUUGCAGUUAAAAGGCUCGUAGUUGGAUUUGUGGCGUACGACGGGCUCCGGGCACUUGUUGUCUGAGUAGCUUGUCGUUGCCAUCCUUGGGUGGAACCUGUGUGGCAUUAGGUUGUCGUGCAGGGGAUGCCCAUCUUUUACUGUGAAAAAAUUAGAGUGUUCAAAGCAGGCUUAUGCCGUUGAAUAUAUUAGCAUGGAAUAAUAAGAUAGGACUUUGUCGCUAUUUUGUUGGUUUGCGCGAUAAGGUAAUGAUUAAUAGGGACAGUUGGGGGUAUUCGUAUUCCAUUGUCAGAGGUGAAAUUCUUGGAUUUUUGGAAGACGAACUACUGCGAAAGCAUUUACCAAGGAUGUUUUCAUUAA